rnacentral:lncRNA from 1 species
AUGGGACGUUUCAUCCACCACCCCAAUCUCUCUCACAGAGUGGCCCUGGAACCAAACCGAGGAAGAGACCAGAACCGUCACAGGCUAAGGGACACUGCAAACCUCCACCUCCCCACACACACACACAAUUGCCUCAGAGGCCACUUGGCAUGCAGCGCACCACGGGACAUCGCUGCCAAGUCGCACCUCAUACUUAGCUUCAUGGCCGCCGCGGCGCACCUCACACGCGGCCUCCCCGCCAGCGCCUCACACACGAGUUUCCCUCAGCUGCGCACCUCACACGCGGGCUCCCCUCAGCCCCGCGCCUCACACGCGGGCUCCCCUCAGCCCCGCACCUCACACGCGGGCUCCCCUCAGCCCCGCACCUCACACGCGGGCUCCCCGAGGACGCACACCUCACACGCGGGCUCCCCUCAGCCCGCACCUCACACGCGGGCUCCCCGCGGACGCGCACCUCACACGCGGGCUCCCCGCCGCCGCACACCUCACACACGAGUUUCCCUCAUCCCCGCACCUCACACGCGGGCUCCCCUCAGCCCCGCACCUCACACGCGGGCUCCCGUCAGCCCCGCGCUUCACACGUGGGCUCCCCUCAGCCCCGCACCUCACACGCGGACUCCCCUCAGACCCGCACCUCACACGCGGGCUCCCCUCAGCCCCGCGCCUCACACGCGGGCUCCCCUCAGCCCGCACCUCACACACGAGUUUCCCUCAGCCCCGCGCCUCACACGCGGGCUCCCCUCAGCCCCGCACCUCACACGCGGACUCCCCUCAGCCCCGCACCUCACACGCGGACUCCCCUCAGCCCCGCGCCUCACACGCGGGCUCCCCUCAGCCCCGCGCCUCACACGCGGGCUCCCCUCAGACCCGCGCCUCACACGCGGGCUCCCCUCAGCCCCGCGCCUCACACGCGGGCUCCCCUCAGCCCCGCACCUCACACGCGGGCUCCCCUCAGCCCCGCAUCUCACACGCGGGCUCCCCUCAGCCCCGCACCUCACACGCGGGCUCCCCGAGGACGCGCACCUCACACGCGGGCUCCCCGCCGCCGCACACCUCACACACGAGUUUCCCUCAUCCCCGCAUCUCACACACGAGUUUCCCUCAGCCCCGCGCCUCACACGCGGGCUCCCCUCAACCCGCACCUCACACGCGGGCUCCCCUCAGCCCCGCACCUCACACGCGGGCUCCCCUCAGCCCCGCACCUCACACGCGGGCUCCCCUCAGCCCCGCACCUCACACGCGGGCUCCCCUCAGCCCCGCACCUCACACGCGGGAUCCCCUAAGACCCGCAUCUCACACGCGGGCUCCCCUCAGCCCCGCACCUCACACGCGGGCUCCCCUCAGCUGCGCGCCUCACACACCUCACACGUGGGCUCAUGGCGGCCGCGUGCACCCCACAGGCGCACUUUAAGUGCAUAG